rnacentral:lncRNA from 1 species
AUUAAUCCACCACGUACCCUCAUGUAUACAAAUGUAUGUAUAUAAGCAAGCUUAUAUAUAAGUAUUGAAAGUCCAGAAAUACAAUUAUACAAGCGUCCUAUAUAUAAUUUUGAACCUAGCUAGCUAGCUCUCUCUCUCUCACUACUUAAUUUGUUCAACAUGGUUUCAAGGGUGGUACUUAUUUCCAUCUUUUGUUUUCUUCUUACUUCUCUCCUUUUGAGCUCUAAAUUCGAAGCACGCAAGCUUAUUGACCAGUCGGAAGAGAUGCGUUUGAACUCAUCAUCUUCAUCUUCAUCUUCAUCAAUUAAUGAAAAUUCAGAGUCAAACAUUAGUACAGAUGACCUUCCCUCUUAUGCAGACGAGUCUGGUCCAAGUCCUGGUGUGGGACACUAAUAUGGGCAUUUAGCUAGCUAGUAAUUUGAUUAAGAAUAUAUAUAUAUAUAUAUAUAUAUAUAUAUAUAUAUAUAUAUAUAUAUGUAUGUAUGUAUUUGUGUGUGUGUAUUCAUAAUUUCAUAUGCAUGUGAGGUGUGAUAUUUUGUGUCAUAUAUUUACGUAUUAUUAUGUUGAAAUGGUGAGUUGUCUAGUUUACAUAUUAUACGAGAACAAAUUAAAGAAGUGCAUUGUUAGGCGGUGAAAUUCAAGCGUGAUAGAGGGUUUACAACUAGCUAGUUAGAUCAGCCUAGACUACUACAUAUAUAUAUAUAUACCCCCUGUACUCAAAUUAAAAAUUAAUGUUGCAGUUCACAUAUUAAAAUGAUGUAUAGAAUAUUUGAGAUCGAUUGCAUAUAUGCAGCUAGCUAGCACUAUAGGUUUGAUUUGUAGAUUUAAUUAAUGAUAAAUUAAAGUUUGUACGCAAACAUGUUAUAUUUUUCUUCAUGCAUGCUAAUGAAAGAAUAUAUAUUAUUAUUGUUUACCAUGUAAAUUAAUAUAAUCCAUUAGAUGGCUU